UUGAACGCUGGCGGCAGGCCUAACACAUGCAAGUCGAACGGUAACAGGAAACAGCUUGCUGUUUCGCUGACGAGUGGCGGACGGGUGAGUAAUGUCUGGGAAACUGCCUGAUGGAGGGGGAUAACUACUGGAAACGGUAGCUAAUACCGCAUAACGUCGCAAGACCAAAGAGGGGGACCUUCGGGCCUCUUGCCAUCGGAUGUGCCCAGAUGGGAUUAGCUAGUAGGUGGGGUAACGGCUCACCUAGGCGACGAUCCCUAGCUGGUCUGAGAGGAUGACCAGCCACACUGGAACUGAGACACGGUCCAGACUCCUACGGGAGGCAGCAGUGGGGAAUAUUGCACAAUGGGCGCAAGCCUGAUGCAGCCACGCCGCGUGUAUGAAGAAGGCCUUCGGGUUGUAAAGUACUUUCAGCGGGGAGGAAGGGAGUAAAGUUAAUACCUUUGCUCAUUGACGUUACCCGCAGAAGAAGCACCGGCUAACUCCGUG
rnacentral:rRNA from 1 species